UAGAAACAUUCUAGAUUUGACAAGUUUGGCAUUGUACUUUUCACCAUACUGUGUUGUACGGUGGGUGUCACGGAUUGAAAUACAAUGCUUUGUAGUCGCGGCUACUAUGGGCAUAGUCACAUUUACUACACGACUCAGUGAUUUUUACCAGAUUAUAUUGUAUAUCCACUUGAAUGUUGGAUUAUCCCGGCUAUUUAGAACACGGUGGUUUGCGAAUACCCUUUAAUGGGUAAAAAUUUACCCAUUUUCAAAUAGCACACAUUUCUGUCAAAAAGUGGGUGAAUUCAGAAAUGAAAAACGGGUAAAUAAACACCCAUUAUGUUUUGGCCAUUGCAGAUUAAAAAUGGGUAUUUGAAAACUCAUUUAUGGGUGAAAAAAUAGUUAAAGCAAACGUUGCAAUAUUCCAUAGAUAACACAGCUGUAGUUCCGAAGAUUGAACAUAAUUAUAAAUCUUUAAAUUCAACUUCCCUUUUUUUUGUAAAUACAGCGACCAAAAAAGAGACAUUUCAGAUUUUCCUGUUAUUCCUGCCUCGGUUCCAGCCGGCUGCAGCAAAAUUCCAACCAUUGACAGAAUGGAGGAGCUUAUAUAUAGGCAAAUAUAAUGCGCCACCGUCAUAGAGGUCGCUGGAGAAGAACGAGUGAAAUGUCACUGAAAAUGUUUGUUUACGUCCAAAAUUCAAUUCUUCAACCCAAAAAUUUGUUCAUAAUUAAUCGAUUAUUGAACUAUUUUCCAUUGGCACACUCAUUUUGUACCAUUAUUCUUGCCACACGUGUGAUUUCACAACAAAUUUAACCACUAACAAAGAAUCCGGAAGUUUAUAACCUAUGUUGCCAAACACCAAUUUUCCAAGUUUAUCCCACUAAUUGUACAUGAGCACUGACCGGAUCUGUACAUUUUCAAAGGAAAAAAAGUUUAUUCUGUUUCUCAAUGAUCUUUGAUCGUCUACAAAAUAACUAUUCCGAGAAAAAGUUCGAAACAGUCGUUGAAAAUCGAGGGGAAUCUCAAUGUAUUCCAUCCAGAUGAAACAAUGUUGCGAAUGUUGUAGAAACACAUAAUUAGGUUAACUAUACAUACCUUACGCGCAAUAAACUAUUGCCAGCAAUUGAAUUGUUUCAUUGAACCUGUAUUUUGACCACUAAAAAUAUUUAUUACAAGUUGAAUUUUGUUUAGUGAAACAUACUUUCAUAAACAUUCCAUCCAACCACCCCUCAUUUUCCGAGCCGUGCAGCCGGCAGCCGAGUGUCAACAACAGCUGUUUUGGAAAUCUGACUCGACGCCCACUCUGCUGUCCUUGUUGCUCUACUUGAAAGAGUAGGGGUGCUCGUUUGCGCGCGAAAAACUUCUCGCUCGUUGAUGCUGCCAAAUCUGACAGCGAAUGCUUCACCGACCGUUUAGAACGACGACUGUUUCAAACGGUCGCGAACAGUUAGGAACUGAACGGUCAAUA